rnacentral:pre_miRNA from 1 species
CUAGUAUUCCCUCCAUCCGAAAAUAUUUGUUUUAAAAAUAGAUGUAUCUAGAUUUAUUUUAGUUAUAGAUAUAUUUAUUUUAUACAUUUUUAGGAUAAGUAUUUUUGAACGGAGGGAGUAUAUA